CGAUUUCCGAAUGGGGAAACCCAGUGUGAUUCGUCACACUAUCAUUAACUGAAUCCAUAGGUUAAUGAGGCGAACCGGGGGAACUGAAACAUCUAAGUACCCCGAGGAAAAGAAAUCAACCGAGAUUCCCCCAGUAGCGGCGAGCGAACGGGGAGGAGCCCAGAGCCUGAAUCAGCAUGUGUGUUAGUGGAAGCGUCUGGAAAGGCGCGCGAUACAGGGUGACAGCCCCGUACACAAAAGCGCAUGUGCUGUGAGCUCGAUGAGUAGGGCGGGACACGUGGUAUCCUGUCUGAAUAUGGGGGGACCAUCCUCCAAGGCUAAAUACUCCUGACUGACCGAUAGUGAACCAGUACCGUGAGGGAAAGGCGAAAAGAACCCCGGCGAGGGGAGUGAAAAAGAACCUGAAACCGUGUACGUACAAGCAGUGGGAGCACAGGUUUACCUGUGUGACUGCGUACCUUUUGUAUAAUGGGUCAGCGACUUAUAUUCUGU
rnacentral:rRNA from 1 species